GGGUAUAUAGCUCAUGGGUAGAGCAUUUGAUUGCAGAUUAACUAUUACAUUUUCUACUAGAAUUCUGCCCA
rnacentral:tRNA from 1 species